CCUACGGGUGGCUGCAGUGGGGAAUAUUGGACAAUGGGCGAAAGCCUGAUCCAGCCAUGCCGCGUGUGUGAAGAAGGCCUUCGGGUUGUAAAGCACUUUCAGUGGGGAAGAAAGCCUUGGGGCUAAUACCCUCGAGGAAGGACAUCACCCACAGAAGAAGCACCGGCUAACUCCGUGCCAGCAGCCGCGGUAAUACGGAGGGUGCGAGCGUUAAUCGGAAUUACUGGGCGUAAAGCGCGCGUAGGCGGUCUGAUAAGCCGGUUGUGAAAGCCCCGGGCUCAACCUGGGAACGGCAUCCGGAACUGUCAGGCUAGAGUGCAGGAGAGGAAGGUAGAAUUCCCGGUGUAGCGGUGAAAUGCGUAGAGAUCGGGAGGAAUACCAGUGGCGAAGGCGGCCUUCUGGACUGACACUGACGCUGAGGUGCGAAAGCGUGGGUAGCAAACAGGAUUAGAUACCCGUGUAUC
rnacentral:rRNA from 1 species